rnacentral:rRNA from 1 species
GGGGCCCGCACAAGCGGAGGAACAUGUGGUUUAAUUCGAUGAUACGCGAGGAACCUUACCUGGGCUAGAACGCAUUCGGAAUCAGGCCGAAAGGCCUGCGCCAGCGAUGGCCGCUUGCGAGGUGCUGCAUGGUUGUCGUCAGCUCGUGCCGUGAGGUGUCGGGUUAAGUCCCAUAACGAGCGCAACCCCUACUGCUAGUUGCCAGCGGGUCAUGCCGGGGACUCUAGCGGAACUGCCAGCGUAAGCCGCGAGGAAGGUGGGGAUGACGUCAAAUCAGCACGGCCCUUACGUCCAGGGCUGCACACGUGUUACAAUGGCCGGUACAGAGGGCAGCCACCCCGCGAGGGGGCGCGAAUCCCGAAAGCCGGUCCCAGUUCGGAUCGGAGUCUGCAACCCGACUCCGUGAAGCUGGAUUCGCUAGUAAUCGCGCAUCAGCCACGGCGCGGUGAAUACGUUCCCGGGCCUU